rnacentral:rRNA from 1 species
UACGUAGGGUGCAAGCGUUGUCCGGAAUUAUUGGGCGUAAAGGGCUCGUAGGCGGUCCAUCGCGUCGGGAGUGAAAAGCUGGGGCUCAACCCCAGUCCUGCUUCCGAUACGGGUGGACUAGAGGUAGGCAGGGGAGAACGGAAUUCCUGGUGUAGCGGUGAAAUGCGCAGAUAUCAGGAGGAACACCGGUGGCGAAGGCGGUUCUCUGGGCCUUACCUGACGCUGAGACGCGAAAGCGUGGGGAGCGAACAGG